GUUGUGUCAAAGUUUACUUUCGUAAUCACUUCACCAUGUACUGACAACGUGAGAUCUGAGUCCAAAUGAAGCACCUACAGAAUAUGAAAAUUGUGAUUAAAAUCAUGGUCAUUGUUUUGCACUGUAGAGGUUCCUCAUCUGACAAGACAAAGAAACUCAGCGUCUUAAUCGGUGCAGACGUGACUCUUAGCUGCCUGUUUGAUAAAUUUUCCAAGCUGGUGGAGUGGAGCACUCUCACCAUUGAGUGGAACAUGGUGGAUAAACGUGCAGAGAAGAGCAUUGUGUACACUUUUGAGGAUGGCAGAGCACAUGUGAACAGAAAUGGCUCCGUGGUGGAUAAAAUGCAGUUGCUAGAAAGUGAUGCAUCUCUGCAGCUUGGUAAUGUGACUGUGGGGGAUGAAGGGCUGUACACCUGCAGAAUCAUCACACCUGUGGUCCACACAGAGACCACCUCACUGGAAGUGCUAGCUCGGCCUUUAGUGUCACUACCAGAGAAGGCAGCAGUGACAGAAGGGGAGGAGAAGACUAUACAGUGUGACAUCAAAGGUUUCUAUCCAGAGAAACUGGCUGUGUCGUGGCUCAUUCAAAAUGGCUCCCACACUGUCCACGCAGGUGCAAGCCACCUCUCCCGAGUCUGCACUGAAAUGGCCAUUCACAAUCCAGAUGGCACCUACAGUAUCCGCAGUGGCAUCACACUGCACUCCUCAGCAGUGAAGGAUGGAGAGAUGCGCAUCAUCUGUCAGGUGGAGCACCAGACCUACGGCCGGCCGCACAACAAGUCUGUCACACUGACUGUUCAGGCUCCAUCACAGCCCCUUUACAGCGCUGUCACACUGAUAGCUGUCACCAGUGUCAUCAGUCUGCUGCUGGUUAUCACUGUUAUUGGAGGCGCUCUGCUUCUCUACAGAUAUUUCGGCAAAGCUCCACCAAGUGUUUCUGAAAUCAGCAAACCUAGCAUCAUAUAUGCUCAGGUGCAGACAGACCUCAAAUGCACCAUCCAAGGAGCAAGACUGCAGGAGCUCAAGGUGAAAUGGUUCAAAUUAAGAAGCUUCGAAGACUCUGUGGUCCAGUCAGACUGUGAUUCUCUGUUGCUCAGUGAGGAUCUGAGUGAACAGGCUUGUCUCCAGUCAGAUGGCAGACACCACACAUCUGUCCUGACUGUGUGUCUGAGCGUCACUGAAGACCUGACUGAAUACCAGUGUGUGGUGCUGUGCAGGAGCAAGUGCAUCAAAAGAAACACCACAGUCCCAGUAAAAGUGGAGCCGUCUUUCAUCCAGAUCUCCAGCAUUCCUCAGAUCCCCAAGGUGGAGAGGCUGCUGGUUCUCUGCUGUCGGGUGGAGAACUUCUACCCUCAGGACAUCGACCUGGAGUGGUCCAGGAACGACGGGGAGCAAGUUGGCACCGUCACACACUUUGGACCUUUCUCUGACCACAACCGCCUCUACAGCAUGUGGAGUAAGAUUCAGCUGGUCAUGGCCAGAGAGGACGAGAGGGCUGUCUACACCUGCCGAGUUUACCACUCCAGCUUCCCUGCUCCAGGUUACAAAGAUGUCCUGUAUCACAUCAACACUCAAGGAACUCCUCCUAAUGUGAUGUUCAUCGACUGUGAACCACUGUGUCCUCUGAUGAAUGAAGAGUGUACACUGCACCUGUGUAUCAAAGACUUCUGUCCUGAGGACGUGUCAGUGACUUGGACUAAAGAUGGAGAGACGGUUCUGUCCGGUGUCUUUAACACUCCCCCGAGCCUGAACAUCAACGGCCUCUACUCCAUGUUCAGUUUCCUCAAACUCACCCCCAGCAAGAAGGACCAGGGCUCCAAGUUCAGGUGCCAAGUGGUUCACAGCGCCCAGAGGGAGCCUGAGGAGAGACUCUUCACACUUCCUGCUGCAACACACAACCUACAUGUGAUAGACGGCUGCUGAUGUCCUCACUGUGUAAACUCUUACAUUUCAAGCUACAGUAGUUUGAUUUGUGAAAGUUGGGAUACAGAUCGGAAGAGAGAAAACAGGUAUUGGGACUGAUGGUGGGCCCUCUAAAAACAGUAUGUGGUUACUGCCUUUCAUUGGUAUGAUCCAAGCAGCAACCACCGGGGCUAAAAACUCAAGCCAACAUGGAAGUGCCACAAAUUGCAGUUCUCUGAAUGGACACUUGAGGCUGGCUCCAGAAGCGAGUCAGUCCCCACAGAAAUAAACAUGUUUACAGCCCAGAAAAACUGCUCUGGCUUCCACAGCUACUCUUAACAUUCAUGACAACUGUACAGAGCAUUUAAAAAAACCCCUACUUGUUUACCAUUUAAUAAAGGCUUCAAGUUACACAUAAUUAAGGGCAGGCCACUAGAUCCACUCCUUGCUUCUCCACAGCACCUCCCUCUUGUCCAAAUAUGGUCACUUCUGGCUCCAAAAAAUUAGGAUGGUGACGGCUCAAAUGCCAAACUCGAGGCAUCAAAACAGGAGUCCACAAAUCAAUGGGUGACGUCACAGUAGCUGGGUCCAUUAUUUUAUACAGUCUAUGGUAUGAUCAACCCGUUCUCAUCCAAACUUGUCAUAUAACCCUGCUUUGUGAGUAGACCUUAACAUCAAAAAAAUGACGCGCUAGGUAGCAACCUGCAUCAGUUUUGGAGGUUCACGGGCAGCGUCCCAAUUGAUGCUUCUUACAUGCACAGUGUCUUUUUAAAAUAUAUUUCCAUUCUGCUCAUAACUUGCAUAUAGUCUUUUCCUAAAUCCACUUACGAUGUAGGUAAAACACUUUGUUUUUAGGUUUAUUUCAUUAAGUUUAGGCAUGGACAUAAUGUCACAUCCAAUGACAUACGUCAUGGGACGUACAUCACUAGUGUACAUCACUCUGCAGUCCCUCCACCUCACUCCCCACCACACGGAGAUUACUCAACCUGUUCUCAUUCCCAGCUCGUCAAAUACCACUGUUUUGUCAGUGAUCUCGGUGCCAGACAGCGAUGCACAAAGGCACCCUUUGCAAUGGUGUGAUACACACUGGGUAGUGGCAGUUUGUAAUGCCACCAGCAGUGACCAUAGUAUAAAGACUGAGAAAGACUUUCACCCAGAAGCCUGCUGUUUGUUUUCCGUGUAAAACCAAAAAUCAGCGGAACUAUUUUCAUACCACCUUAGUGUGCUAGCAUGUGUAGCAUGCUAUGCUACUGACAUAUGUUACAUAACUUGUGUCAUGUAACAUUACAUGAUGUUAGUAACAACUGUACUUAUUUUAAGCCAAACCAUGUUUUCUUCUAAACCUAACCACGUGCUUUUGUUGUGUAAACCUAAGGAAAUGAACAGGAAAAAAAAGUGCUUUACCGACUGAUGGACACAGUGCAUGUUACAAGUGUACAUGUAGGGAUGUUUUGACACUUGGUCCUUUUCAGCCCUCUAAGCGGACUUAGAGCGGUGACUCAGCAUUUUUUUGGGCAUAUGUGAGCACUCCAAGAGAGCUCAGACCCCUCUGAAGCGAACCGAACUCAGACCACCUCAGGGGGUGGUUUGAGUUUGGUUUGCUGAUCGGUGUGGUCCCCUUAACCUGUGCACUGUGAACACAAAGUGCUCUGGGUUCGCUUUGCUCUUUGCCAUUUUAUUUAGCCCUCUAGAUCACAUGCUAUUAAACUGGGAAGUUUAAUAGCAUGGAAAGAACAGACAAAACCACGUUGGCCUGUAACGCUUGCAAGGACGCAGGAUGAGGAGUAGUUUGGUCCAUGAGAGAUACUGCAUAUCUCUAGAUGUGGAAUGUAGGAUACAUUAAACCGCAACAGCCUACAGCACAGAGAUGCAAAGGUUUUCCUCUAGUUUUAAGUUCAUCUGAGAGUGAGGGCUUCAUAACCGCACUGCAGUGCCACAUCAAAGUAAAAACAAAACUACAUCAAUGUAUAUUAUAUAUAGGCUAUAGUGUGAACAGAAAGAGGACUGAGGCCCCAUCAAAGCUGAAGCUGAUCAGAAAGAGAACAGUCAGUUCUUUCAAAUGAACUAACAAUGUGAACACAAAAAGAACUGAGUCCCUUUUCUGGUGGUCCACUUUUUAGUGCACUUUAAGAAAACUGAGUUCAGUUUGUUUUAAAAGGACUAUAUGUGAAAAUACCCUUAAUUGACACAUCAUAAUAAUGAUAAUAAUACAUUUUAUUUAUAGAGCACUUUCCAAAGUACUCAAAGGUACUCCCUGAAUGUCCAAAACUAAAACAGCUCAUAUAGAAUACUGUAAAUUUAUUAUGUUGAUCUGUUCUGUAUGACAUCUAUUGCACAUCUGUCCGUCCUGGAAGAGGGAUCCCUCCUCAGUUGCUCUUCCUGAGGUUUCUACCAUUUUUUUCCCCCGUUAAAGGUUUUUUUGGGGAGUUUUUCCUUAUCCGCUGUGAGGGUCCUAAGGACAGAGGGAUGUUGUAUGCUGUAAAGCCCUCUGAGGCAAAUUGUGAUUUGUGAUAUUGGGCUUUAUAAAUAAAAUUGAAUUGAAUUGAAUACCCGGAGUGUCAUAUUUUGACAAGUGGGUCUACUGAGAAAGUAACAGUAAUUGAUGAGUUGGGAUGGGCAGCGCUGGGUCUAACCUGUGCAGCAGCAGCAACAGAAAGUAAGCUAAUCCAGUCAGGGCAGGUUGGGACCAUGUUGCAAAAGUUUUUGUUUUUUUUCUUGAAUUUGUUUGUUGCACACUCCAGCCUUCAUAAAGCCAGGAUGGAAUUGUAGGAAGAAGACAUCUGAUUGAAUCAGGACAAGAGCUCAAUGGUAAACCUGAAUUUAUUCUUUUACAUUGUUUGCACAAUUGAUGGAAGUCACAACAGACUUUCAGUGUACAGACUUGGAGCCUUUCAACCAAACUGCCUUGCUAAAUUCAACAUUUACAGGCGACUCAAAAAAAAGUGUAAAACCAAGUAUUGUUUGAGAAUUUUCAGAACACAGACAUUUCAUAUUAGUCGUGUUCAAAGGCUUAUUACUGAACAAUGCAGGGUUGUUUUUGGUUAAACUUGUAAUUAAAGUAAUUAAGUUAUUUGUGGUUUAUUGAAUUGCUCCUAAUUAUAUAACUACAGUAUCUUUUCAGACUGUUUUAUGUACGCAUUACUUAUUUCUCUGUAUGCUUAUGAUCUUUGUAUCACAGCUGUUUGUACAAUCUGAAUAUGAGAAAUCAGCCACUGCAUUCUGUUUUGAUGUGAAGUUAUAUUAGUAAUAUUUGAAAGGAUACUUUGAUAAUGACCCUUUUACCAUGCAACAAUGAUUAUAUUUACGUGUUGAAAAUAUACAGUGAUAUUCUAAUAAACAUGAUGCAAGAUGGAUUUGCUUAUUUAUCUGAGUUUUUCACACUGAGUCUCUGCUGUGAAAAUGGAGUCAAACUGAACAUACAUGACUUUAAAUGAGUGUGAAAAGAAACUACAGAAGCAUUGAAAACUAAGCCUGCUUAUACCAACUACAGCAAAUCACUUUAGUUUACAAGGCAUUUGGUCAGUGUUUGUAUCAUAUAAAUCGUUUUUUUUUCUUCAUAUAUAUAUAACAUAUUUAACCAUUUAAUAUCCAUUCCCUGACAUUUCUAAUAAAACAGCUUUUUUUUAAUUACAAAAAGAUGGCAUUCUUUACAAAUAAAAUCAUAAUAAACAUUAAAGAUAUUCCAUCCUAUUUGGAGUCAUACAAUGGUGAAAGAAAAACAAUUAAUAAGUCAUAAUGUUGAUUGUAUCCUGUCACUGUAUGGAUUUAUUUUACAGCCUGAAACCAUCACAUCUCUAAAACUCCCUUACAUUGAAUAUCUUAAAUAUUUGGCAGAAACUUAACUUGACUUAAAGUCAUGUUAGUCGGCAGUAGUUCACUGCACUCAUGUAUUUCAUAAUACUCUUAAUAUAUUCAAUAUAUUAAUGGAUCUGAAACAUGUUAGACACUUAAGGCAUUAGAAGGCAUAGCAGCAAACUACUGUGUGCAGUUCACAAACCAACAUUAAUAUUGUAAUACAUUCAUAUUUUUAAGCAGUGAAAAAAAAAAAUCUGUGUUUGACUACAUCUGACUAUUUGUUGUUGUUACAGCAGAGAUACAUUUAGAUUGUUAAGAGUACACAAUAUGAAAAUAUGCUGCUGGUUUUAUUUUGGACCUUGUGUUUGAUAAUAAAUUUACACACACAAAUGGAAUGUUUUUCUUCAUGGUGUUUUUGUGCUUUGGUAGAAAAUGUAGGAUUGUCCUUGGAUGUCUCUUGAAUGUAUCCUGAAUGAGCUGCUGCUAGGACUGGUAUGAAAUCACUACAGUAAAUAGUAAUACCAGUGCUUGAAACAGCUGUUAUGGCACCUCUGAACCAGAUCCGAUUUUAAUUUUAAUAAAUAAUUAAACUAACUCCAGCUAAAAGUAUAAAAUGCGAGAUUAUUUUGAAAGGAAGAUGUUGGCAACACAAUCUGAAUUUCUGUAGAG